rnacentral:rRNA from 1 species
UACAGAGGUCUCAACCGUUGUUCGGAUUCAUUGGGCGUAAAGGGUGCGUAGGCGGUCGCGCAAGUCGGAUGUGAAAUCUUAGGGCUCAACCCUGAAACUGCAUUCGAUACUGCGUGGCUCGAGUACUGGAGAGGAGACUGGAAUUUACGGUGUAGCAGUGAAAUGCGUAGAUAUCGUAAGGAAGACCAGUGGCGAAGGCGAGUCUCUGGACAGUUACUGACGCUGAGGCACGAAGGCCAGGGGAGCAAACAGG